UACGGAGGGGGCUAGCGUUGUUCGGAAUUACUGGGCGUAAAGGGCUCGUAGGCGGCCAACUAAGUCGGAUGUGAAAUCCCCAGGCUUAACCUGGGAACUGCAUCCGAUACUGGAUGGCUUGAAUUCGGGAGAGGGAUGCAGAAUUCCAGGUGUAGCGGUGAAAUGCGUAGAUAUCGAGAGGAACACCGGUGGCGAAGGCGGCUACCUGGACGGUGACUGACGCUGAGACGCGAAAGCGUGGGGAGCAAACAGG
rnacentral:rRNA from 1 species